rnacentral:rRNA from 1 species
UUGGAGGGCAAGUCUGGUGCCAGCAGCCACGGUAAUUCCAGCUUCAAUAGCGUAUAUUAAAGUUGUUGCAGUUAAAAAGCUCGUAGUUGAAUUUCGGGAUCAGUACGCUGGUCAUGCCUUUGGUAUGCACUGGUGUCACUGGUUUCUCCCUUCUGAAGAUCCGUGAUGUCAUUAAUUUGGUGUCGCGGGGAAUCAGGACUGUUACUUUGAAAAAAUUAGAGUGUUUAAAGCAGGCUCACGCUUGAAUACAUUAGCAUGGAAUAAUGAAAUAGGACGUUUGACCCUAUUUUGUUGGUUUCUAGGAUCGGCGUAAUGAUUAAUAGGGAUAGUUGGGGGCAUUAGUAUUCAAUUGUCAGAGGUGAAAUUCUUGGAUUUAUUGAAGACUAACUACUGCGAAAGCAUUUGCCAAGGAUGUUUUCAUUAAUCAAGAACGAAAGUUAGGGGAUCGAAGACGAUCAGAUACCGUCGUAGUCUUAACCAUAAACUAUGCCGACUAGGGAUCGGAUGAUGUUAAUUUUAUAAUGACUCAUUCGGCGCCUUACGGGAAAC